UCCACAAUGACUGUUUCCUUU
ensembl:piRNA 21ur-2623 ncRNA